GACGAACGCUGGCGGCGUGCUUAACACAUGCAAGUCGAACGGUAAGGCCCUUCGGGGUACACGAGUGGCGAACGGGUGAGUAACACGUGGGUGAUCUGCCCUGCACUUCGGGAUAAGCCUGGGAAACUGGGUCUAAUACCGGAUAGGACUCCUGGCUUCAUGGUUGGGGGUGGAAAGCUUUUGCGGUGUGGGAUGGGCCCGCGGCCUAUCAGCUUGUUGGUGGGGUAAUGGCCUACCAAGGCGACGACGGGUAGCCGGCCUGGGAGGGUGACCGGUCACACUGGGACUGAGAUACGGCCCAGACUCCUACGGGAGGCAGCAGUGGGGAAUAUUGCACAAUGGGCGCAAGCCUGAUGCAGCGACGCCGCGUGAGGGAUGACGGCCUUCGGGUUGUAAACCUCUUUCAGCUAUGACGAAGCGCAAGUGACGGUAGGUGCAGAAGAAGGACCGGCCAACUACGUGCCAGCCGCCGCCGUAA
rnacentral:rRNA from 1 species